CUCCUACCCACCCCUGCACGUCAGCAGCUCCUCCCACAGGGAUCUUUGUCUCUGGCUCACUGGUGUCCCACGCCCGUGGAAGGGCAGCGGGAGGCACUCACACGUGUGUGCAGAGGGACGCGUGUGUCUGAGGAGGCUCCUGCGGGGAGCCUCACCCCGCCGUCCCCCACCCUCCCGGACCUCGGGCAGGGAAAGUGAAGAUCGCUGGGACCAGGUACAAACGGUUUAUUUUUCUAUAAAGAGCAAAGUACAAAGAGGUGGGGAGGAGCGCAGGGCCUUGAGGAGCAGCAGUGGGCAGGCUCCAGGCCCUGGCGGAGGCCAGAGGAGGCCCUGGGGGCUUUCCCAGGUGUAAAGA